ensembl:processed_transcript Six3os1 SIX homeobox 3, opposite strand 1
CACUCAUGAAGAACUGAGGCAAAAGGAUCACAGAUGCUGCUCGGGGCCAGCCCUAUACUCCCUCCAGUGCCUGGUCUCCGGUGGACCCGCGGGGCUCUGCAGUUCUCUGGCGGCCGCGCCUUGUAAGCGCUAAGCCGGGAGGAGGGCGCAGGCAGGGCGCACAGCUCUGAGCGCGACCCUACCCGGCUCGGGCCCGCAGCAGCCCCGACUGUCCGAGAGCCUCUCCGCAAGCAAGGCUCUGCGCCGCCCUCUGAGCCCACCUCCUGGCCACAACGCUGCCUGCGCUUCUCCAGCCCAGGCCGGAAGCCCUAUGCUGCCUCCCGAAGCCGGACUUUCUGGAAGCCCAUCUUCGUAUGCUCACCAGCCCACCCUCCUACGCUGGUCAGAGUGAGAUUGCUAACCUCAAGACCCCAUUCAAUGCCAGCUUUCAACUACUGCUGAAGACCAAUGUAGGUCCUGGAAUAGAAGAACUGCAGAGUGUAAGUCUAUUUGACCGGCCCCUCCUCCCUUCCCUCCUUCCAUUCGGCUCCACUCCCGAGCCCAGCCCCCUUUCCAUUCAAUGACCCCCUAAACUAAACCCAAGCAUAAACUCCAGGAUCAUCUCUGAGCCGGACCACAGUAGUGCCCAGGUCACGAUCCGUUCUAAGGGCAAAAGCAGCGGCAGAAAAGUCAGGGGCGGGUGCUCUAGGAGAGAGGGAGACCUGAAACGGAGGGUAGGAUUCAGUUCCGAGCCCACCGGCUGCUGAGGGGAGGAGGCGAAAGGAGGGGGUUGGGAGUCCACGGGCAUUGGGUCGGGGCAGCAGGGACUUCAGGCGACGGCGUGGGGGGCUAGAUCCGGAGGAGAGGGGAGGGGUGGCGGGGGUCGGAGGAGCACGCAGGGCGGAGGGGUGUGGGGCUCUUUAAGAGCCACACGGCUAGCAGGAGAGGCGUGCGGCCCUGUGCUGGUAGCGCACUGACCCCGAAGGGGAUUUAGCGGGAAGGGAGCGACCGGGUUCUGGGGGCUUUGUCCGGGGGCGCCCAGAAAGGCCGAGGCACAAGAAUAAGAAGCGGCUGCAGCGUGAAAGGCUGCGAGGAGCGGCGGCGCUGCUGCUCUUGACUUCUGAGCAGGGCUUAGAAGGCCUGCCCCGGCUUAAGCUGAACUGAGGGUGCUGAGUCCUGAGCGCCGAGUUCAGGAGCCCUGAGUCCUGGCCUCUAGGCUGAGGAGGCGUGGGAUAGGGGCGGACGCUGGAGUAGUGGGUCUUCUUGCGACAACCCCCUCUUGGAUCUUACAGCCUUGCUACCCUAGCGCAAGGUUGUUAGCCUAGCUUGCCGCGUCUGGCAUAGCCAAAGAAAUUUACUUUCCCAGCUUGGCUUUUGCUUUUGUGUGUCCACCUCGAGCAGAUCCGGAGCUGGCCGACCCCAGACUGAUUCUCAACAGGUGGCUGGACACACACACACACACACACACACCAGGGUAGGGGAACAGGGAAGAUCUUACCUGCAGAAAGGUAAGAGAAGCCGGGAGCGUGUAGCAGCGGCGGAUAAAUAUUCAUUAGGAAGUGUAAGUCCUUUCAAAGGGCUCCGCGCGCGCGCUCUAGCUCCUGUCUCUCUUUCUCUCCCUCCCUCUGUCCUCCAGGAAGGCUUCCCCUCCUCUAGCUAUCUCAACGCCCCCCCCCCCUUCCUGCGAAAUACCGGGUGGAUCCUAGGCUAGCUAACCUGUUGGGAAGCCUGAACUGCGGUAGCGCCUCUGCAGCUAGCAGUUUGCUUUCGCUCCUGGGGCGCGCGUCCCCCCCCCCCAUCCCCUCCCCUCCUUCCUUUCGCCCAGCCCCUCACCCCUCCUAAAUCACUACAUCAUUAGCUUUAUUGGGCGGGGGGGGGGGCGGGUAACGGAGCAGCCAGACGCACCUCUCCAUAGAAGGGUGAAUAGUUGGUGCCCUGCGAUGCAACCCCAACUCCAUCUCCACCUCAUUCUCACCCAUCUGCACAUCCUCAUCCAAUCUUGCUUCUUUUUCUUCGCUCUUUCCACCUCCACCUCCAUCCUGUGUCAACCUAACUCCCUCAGCAGCCCUCCCACCCGCCGCCGCCAAUCCGGAUCACAGAUUGGGUUGGGAGUGAGAUUGCAAGGCUGUUAGGUCCGAAGGUCCUGUGUGUCGAGGUUAGAACUCCUCCCUGGCGUGAGUACGGGGUGGUUAUCAAGAUCUCCUUCUCCUUCCUGACCCUGCAAGGUUACCAAACAGCCUGGACUUUUGAAUCAGAUCUCUGGAGCAAGCAUUAAGAACUCCAGCCACACAGAUCUCAGGGCCUGGCCCUUUCACUCAGCCGCGGAGGCUGCUUGAGGGAUGGGGAGAGGUGAUUUCACUCAGCGCCAACGCGCAGGAAAAACUCAUAGACGACAGUCGGACUAAUACUCGUCCUUUAAGAAUGCACUACCUGAAGUUAGUCGCAAGUCAUCUUCAAUCGAGGAAAGGAAAAAAAAAUCCUCACAUCUAGAAGCUUCGCCGAAGCCACUUCCAACAGCACGCGAACAUGUUCGCGCACACCCUUCUCUGUGCACGCCCCAAAGCCUGCUCUCUCGCGGGCAGGUGAAAAUACAGGCUGCCCAGGCCAGAGGAGAGAAGGCGGCGGAGGAAUACAUCGCUUAGGGUUGUUGAGAAACUAGGAAUAACUGUUUUCAAUACUCUGCUCUGCUACCAGGACCUUAGGUCCCUCUUGGGACCCUGAAAAGUGGCUUUGCCCCACGAUGGGGGGUGGGGGGGCAGUGACUCUAGCUCUGGCCCUCCUACUGGGAGCUUAAAGUUGGGGUGAAGGGUUUAAGGAGGAGCCGAGGGGGCGGGCCCUGUUAGUUUGCAGUUGUAAGUGCAGCUGUGCCUGGGACACCAAGAAGGAGAGUCUCGCCCCCUUAAUGCUCACGGUGCUUGCUUAGAGGACCCCCGAGGUUAACUACCGGAGCUUCUGCUCUCUCCUGAGCCCCAGGCCAACACAGGACGAUGGUGGCCGGGAUGCCAGCCGGGAUGCCUAAACACAGUAAGACUUCAGUUGCCUCUCAUUUGGCUGUUCAGAGCUAAUGUCUACCAGAGGAGGUUUUAGAAGUGGGUCGCACCCGUCCUGAAUCCAUCCUGUGAGGUGGCAGAGGGUCAGAGGGUCACUCCUUCUUGUUAAAGGUUAGCAUAAUAAGUAUUAUUAUUACUAGGGUAGAGGAAGAUGUGGAGGAAAAAAAAAGCCUAGGGUGCCUAGGACACUAACCAACCUUACAGCUUACCCAAAGUCCAGAACCUCCCAUUGUACACCUUCUCUCCCCAACACAGAUCCCUAAGGUCUCCUCUUCAUCUGGCAUGUGUGUUCACAGAAGGUACAGUGUGCGAGAACACACUUAGGAAAUUUUAGGAACGCUAAUCACAGUACUGGAGGAAUAAAGAUGUGUCGAAGGAAUGGAUGGAAUGCAUGAACACAUACACCUUGUUGUCCAGAUGCAGACAAAAGCUACCAUGUCCGCUUGGAGUGACACCCAGACAUGCACAGAGAUGUACAGGAAGCCAAGGAGAGUGGGAUCCACCAGAGUACAGUACAAGUACAGAGUACAGUGCAAGAUGCCCAGUGGCCCUGGAGAAAAACCUUCGUUGACUCUUCUGUAUGGAAAGUUUCUGAAGAAAGGGCCAAGGAAUGAUCUGCCCCAGAGGCUGCCUUUAGGCUCCCAUACCUGCUCUGUUUGGAGACACCCAGAAGAGGCCAGUACAGCAAAGACUCUUUUUGGUUUGGUUAUUUCUGUUGCUUGUUGUCUUUUUUUCAUCCUUUGCCUGGGAAAUUGUGCUCUGGAAUAGGGCUUGAGUAGACAGCACAGGCCUCCAGUAGAUAACAAGAGAUUCUCAAUCUCCAAUGAGGACAUUCCGUUCUAAGGAAGCUUCCAGAUAGGGGAAAGUCCUGUUUUGUCCCCCUUUUCUCCUCUGAGAUCUGAAAAAAUAGAAAGAAAAAAAAAAGAAAA